CUUUCUGAUAGCUGAUGCCAGGAACAGCAAAAAGCAGAAUGUCCAGUUAGGGAUAGUUAACCAAGCCCCUCUCAAUUCUUCUUCUUGAGGCUAUCCUCUCCUCACUGGUCCCCAUUUUAUAAUCAUGCUCAAGGAGCCUAGGCUUCUCUUCUUCUCUUACAGCAUGUUUAAUAUCACUACUUUAUCCAUUCUGUACUGUUGCAGGCUGAAGGUGACAUUACACUUAGAGGGAUCCACAGAUUCAAGAGGCUGCUUGGGGAGGGCAGCACAGUGAAGUACAAGGACUUUGACAUCAGAGAGGCCUGGAUUCAAGUCCCAAUUUCUGUGUGUGGUAACCAGUCUGCAAGACAGCCUGUGAUGGUUCCUGCCUCCUCGUAUUCAUGUCCUUCUUAGUUCCCUUGCGCAUUGAAUCAGGGCUGGCUCUGGGUGACCAAUAGAAUGUGGAGGAAGUGAUGGGGUGUGAAUUCCGAGGCUAGGUCACAAAAGGCAUUGUAUCUUCCACCUCUUAGAUCUCUCUCUCUGCGGAAGCCAGCCACCGCUCUCCAAGGACUCUCGAGCAGCUCCAUCUACAGAUUCACAUGGAGAAGAAUUAAGGGUUCCUGCCAAUCACCAGCACCACUUUGCCAGCCUUGUAAGUGGGCCACCUUGGAAUUGGAGCCUCCAGUUCCUACUGACAUCUGACUGCAACAUCAUGAGAGACCCUGAGUUUGAACCACCCAGCUGAGCUGCUUCUGAGCUAACCCACUGAAACCACAGUUGGCAUCUGUGUGAAGAUGUGAAUGGAGGAGGCAGAGUAGGCAGUGAGUGCCGCAGCCACAGCUUGUGUUCUCUGCAGCCCUGGCACAGAAGAUAGGAACACUCAUGGGGGAUGCGGCCACUGUGAUGUCUUCCCACACAAGAAGUGCCAAGUGCUUUUCUCAUGCUUUUCUGGAUUGUCCCAUGGUGGACGAGUCAGCAGGAGUGAGAUGGAGCAGCACAGUAGAGGGGUACCUGGCAAGGCCCGGAGGGAGGACCCCCUGCCCCAAACAUUUCAAUGAUAUCAGGUGACAGCCGUGAUCCUCUUAGCACCUGCUCUGUUUUGUCCCAGGCCAGGAUAUCGUUGUACAUAUUCUCAGCUAAGUGAGCACCAAUAGAGGAGAGGGAGAGUCUCAUGGAAGUUCCUUCUAAGCCUUUGGCUCUUUUUACCUUCAACAAGGUGUGCCACCUCUUUGAUCCAGCAAGUGGGAAGAACAGUCCCGGCCUCUUUGCACACAAGACCGUGAUACCAAUGCACCAUCACAGGCCCCACAGGGGAGCUGUCCGCUUCCCCACACAGCUGCUAGGGGCUCUUUUGCAUGUUCCCAACCUUUCCUGCCUUUAUCUGAUAUUCGUUCCUUAGAUCCUGGGAUGAGGAGGUGGACCAGCAGAAGGUGGGCUUGUGAAGGCAGCCCGGGGUCCAAAUCCUCCUGGCUCUUCAGCUUAGCGGGAUGUCACCUUCAGCGUCUGAAAGCUGGGUUUGAUGCGUCUGGAAAGGCGUCCCUGACAGGCGUCGUUGCCAGGAGCCCCUAGUGCCACCAGCAGCCAGCAGGGGAGGGCGUCCUCUGCCCGCUCACUUCUGACCCUUCUCUCGUUGCACCCGGAACAUGGUGCAGCUGGGAGCAGCCUGGGCUGCGCGGAAGGCUCAGAUUUGGGGACGGCCCUUGCCAGUGACUGUGAGCUGGGGUGUCUUGGAAACUCCCAGUCUCAGCUUCUCCAUUUAUAAGAUGAGAAUGAUCAUACCAGACUCAGGCAAGGUUGUUUGUGCAUUAGUGAAAUCAGACGUAUUAAAUAAAGUACCACAUUGAUCGUGGAGUUGUUGAAUAACCA
rnacentral:lncRNA from 1 species